AGGACUGGGACAGACAGGAGUUGUGUAAAAAAAAGAAAGAAAGAAGGAAAAGAGCAGAAGAGGCUGAAGUCCUCCGCUGCUUCCUGCUGCCGCUCCGGCGCUGAGACGCGCCUCAGACACCGAGUCCGACCUUUAAGAAGCCUGCCUGCGUGAGCGUGAAGGAAAUCCACAGACACACCCUGGAAAGCUCCAGGGAGGACUCAGCGGUGGGCGAGGCGGAGAACCCAACUUCAGCCGAGGGUUCGGGAUGAUCCAGGAGGCGCUGAGGAGCAGCGAACCGAGCCGGUGGUGCUGAAGGGAUGCAUGCAGCUAAACUCAGAAGGAGGAAGGAGUUGCAGUUUGAUACAAAUGAGAAGGUGUGUCAACCUGAGACUGAAGGCUUCAACCGCUCAGGUUCUGCCUGGCUGACUCACAGCAGUUCUUCACUGGCAAGCUUUAUGUUCCUGUACACAUGCUAAAGCUGCCAGCUGAAGAACUGCUCUGGUCAGCCCUGCCCUACAGGCUUUAAGAAGAGGAUAGCAGCUGGUGAGAAUGUAGCUCACUAACCUGUUUUGUUUAUUUGAAACAUUUCUGUAUUUUGUCUUUAUCCAUUAAUUGAUUUUAUGGGGAAACAAAGUUUUCCUGCAUAUAUUAUGUAAACAAUCUGUUUUCUCCUCUGUAAAAUAAAGAACAAAAUGUUCCCCUGA